rnacentral:rRNA from 1 species
UACGGGGGGGGCAAGCGUUGUUCGGAAUUACUGGGCGUAAAGGGCUCGUAGGCGGCCAACUAAGUCAGACGUGAAAUCCCUCGGCUUAACCGGGGAACUGCGUCUGAUACUGGAUGGCUUGAGUUUGGGAGAGGGAUGCGGAAUUCCAGGUGUAGCGGUGAAAUGGCGUAGAUAUCUGGAGGAACACCGGUGGCGAAGGCGGCGAUCCUGGACCAACACUGACGCUGAGUGAGCGAAAGCCAGGGGAGCAAAACGG